CUGCGGAGGGAUCAUUACCGAGUUUACAACUCCCAAACCCCUGUGAACAUACCAAUUGUUGCCUCGGCGGAUCAGCCCGCUCCCGGUAAAACGGGACGGCCCGCCAGAGGACCCCUAAACUCUGUUUCUAUAUGUAACUUCUGAGUAAAACCAUAAAUAAAUCAAAACUUUCAACAACGGAUCUCUUGGUUCUGGCAUCGAUGAAGAACGCAGCAAAAUGCGAUAAGUAAUGUGAAUUGCAGAAUUCAGUGAAUCAUCGAAUCUUUGAACGCACAUUGCGCCCGCCAGUAUUCUGGCGGGCAUGCCUGUUCGAGCGUCAUUUCAACCCUCAAGCCCAGCUUGGUGUUGGGACUCGCGAGUCAAAUCGCGUUCCCCAAAUUGAUUGGCGGUCACGUCGAGCUUCCAUAGCGUAGUAGUAAAACCCUCGUUACUGGUAAUCGUCGCGGCCACGCCGUUAAACCCCAACUUCUGAAUGUUGACCUCGGAUCAGGUAGGAAUACCCGCUGAACUUAAGCAUAUCAUA
rnacentral:rRNA from 1 species